ACUUUCUUCAGAAGAAGAAGAUAUCUAGAGUAAACCAGCAACGCAAAGUUCAGAAAGUUGAGAAGCGUGCCAAGGGCAAGAAGAAGAGAGUACUGUCAGACUCUGACUCUGAUUUUGAGGCUGAGGCCAGACAAUCCAAGCGGCUCCCCCCAAAAUCAAGAAGUCGGCAGGCAAAGGUCGCAGAGACGGAAUCAGAGGAAGAGCACGCCAGGUCUAAACCAAACAAGUCCUUAAGCUUACGCAAGACCAAUGCCAGGGGCCAGGCCGCUGCGAUCUAAUUUGCAGGGGCCCCAGAGCCGGCUGCACUUGUAGAGCCAGAGCCGGUCUUGGAAGUAAAUGAGGUCAUUGAGGAUCUUCAGGUGAUUGACAUCAGUGACAAUGAGUCACUUCCUGCUGAGGCUCCUGCUGCAGAGUUGUCCCCAAGCGAGGAAGAGCGCAUGAAAACAAACGAAAUUGAUUGCCCAGUUUGCACACUCAAAAACCAUUACAAACUAUUUUGGGCCUUACAAAGAGAAGUAGUUUGUAAGGGAGUAUGGGGCGAUUUGUAACAGAUUUCGGAAUUCUCCAUACAAAAUAAAGAACAUUGUGCAUAUCGGUGUCAAACUUGUGCCAGUUGAGCAGUCUGGUCCUUCAUCUAGACUGUGCAGCUCCAUUGGAUCAAUCUGAAGUCCGUUAUCUUUG